UGCCCCAGAUUGUUCCAGAACCAUUCACAGUGCUGUCUUGUCCCAUCCUGAUGUACAGGCGGACGCUUUGAUGCAGAGAACCCUGGGGAAGACUCUAAGAGGUGAAGAUGGAGAUGGAAGAUGGAGGAAGGGAGGGUCCUGGAUUCCUGGAUGACUCUGCCCCGGACUAGCUUCCUUGGGGUUCCCAGACACUGAGGGAGUUAUGUCCUCUGUGAGCUCAUCUCCAUGGCAGCUUGGGUUCUAUAUUGGUAUUUGCCCAUUUCAUCAGUGGUCAGAGACACACAGGAAGACUACAAUUCUAUGCAGUAACAUUUAAUUGGUUGUAAGAACUUCUACCACUUUUGCAUCCCUUGCAGAAUUAGUGAGAGAAGUGCAAUCUCCCAGCCUGGAGUAUUGAUUUGUAGGUCAUAGACUUGCACAGCAUUUGCACACCAUGAAUCAUUUAGGCAACUGAAGAGAAGAUAGCCAUCACAAACCACAUGCUUCGAAAACAAGAUGAGUCUGGCUGGAUGUUUGUCCUACUUAGUAUUUUCAAAGGGAAAGCUGUCUCCUGUACUUGCUCAUGCUCAUUCACAGUGACACACAUUUACUGUGUGUGCAUCCUAAGUGUUACCGACAGCCAUCCUGCGUGUGAGCACCAGGCGCAGUGGUUGGAUCUUUCCCAUUUACAUUAAGAGGACUGGGCUGAGGGUGAAGUCACUCACCGGCAAGACACGACGAGGCCACAAAUGGAGCUGCUGGUGACAGCUCUGGGAAAGCCUCAUCUUGCCAAUGGCCAGACCCUCCCUCCCUGGGUGUCCGACGCCAUCUGCAUCUGCUGAGUUUUAUGAAUGCCCACACCGGCUUUUCUUCAGUCCCAGGUCACAUGGCCCAUGCUCUGAAUAUCGUUUUAGUUAUUAGGAGAUACAUCAUUUUGAAAUAUGACAUUAUAAAUUAAAGUCAGUCUUUUCAUUUGGACUUAGGUUUUACCUUAUUCCCAAAUUGUCUUUACAUCUAUUUUCAUAUUUCAUUCUGGCAGAAAGUUCUAAAGAACAGCUUGCCUUCACCUCCACCCCGCCUUCUGCUCAAAGAGAGGCAAAAAGCCUUUUGUGUUCAUACGAGUCUGGACAGGCCACCGGAGCUCCCAUGAGGGCCCAUGAGGGGGCGCGGGAACCCCAGAGCCUCUGCCAGCAGAGGACACGCACAUCUGGAAGGAAGAGAAACUUUGUCCCCUGAGAAUGGAUUGCACAUGCCAGAACCCCUACCCCAGCUUAUCCAGCUGAAAGACUUGGGAAAUAGGAGAAAAGAGAAAGACAGCCAUGGAUCCAGAGUUCUGCCAUGUACACCUCUUGUCUCCUCCGUCAUAAUAAAGCCAGGCUCACUCCCUGCCAUUUCCAAUCCCAGUAUGAAAAGAAAAGACAUCCCUUACCUGACUUACAUGGUAACUUGCUGUGACUCUGGCCCCAUCAGGUCAAAGGUAGUUUCUGUUGAACUACUGCCACAGCUUCUCUGCAGCUAGGCAUUUUUGUGGCUCUGUGUGGCCUUCCUGUCUCACCCUGGACUCUCAUCAUACCAGACUGCCUUCCUUCUGGCACCAUGCCUGGCACCUCAAACCUCCAUGCCCCACUUACCUGGUGCUUCCAACCUGAAACGACCUGGCUGAUCCUCCAUGUGUUAGAAGCUGAACAUCUUUACAGUUCAGAUCCAAUGUCACCUCACUAUGGAUUUUUUUCCCCAAACAUAAUAAAAAUGCAUGC